AUAAGGCAAAGCAAAUAUUUGUGAAUAGAUAUGAAUUAUGUGAUUUAUAAAAAUGAAAUAUUCAUGAGUCAUUUUCAUUAUUCACCUCGUCUUGGAAUUGCUACAUAAAUCUGAUCGAGCAAAUAGAUUUGGUGAAGCCUAGCCCGAAUUUACAGAUAUCAUGGAGCUUGCUGGCUCCCACACAGCAAACCAGAGUGGAUUUGGACCAAAUGUUUGAAUGGUGUGCUCGACUGCUGCUGCUCGGUCCCACGGCUUCGAGGAGAGGCAGGGAAGGACACGACGGCUGAGCCGGCAGCGUGCUCUACAGCACCCGCUUCACGUGGGCAAUCUGCUUUCCCCUGAAUUUCAGCAGAGGCAAGGGCAAGAAGAGGAGACUAACGUUUUCCUUCCUUGACAAGGACACCGGCGCCGACGGGAGGUCAUGCGGCACCGCGGGGAAGGGUGCCGGGGAGAGGUGUUUCGACUCCGAGGGACGACUGCAGACAUCAGGAGCAUCGGCCGUGCAAAAUGAGUGAAAAAGUGGAUAAAAAGCCUUGCCAUUGGGCAGCUUCGAAGCCGGCACUUGCAGAUCCCCUUUGCCAGCCUUCGGCAAGACCGGGGUCAGCGUGGGCGCACAGUCAUGAGAAGUCCCCCCGGUUUCCCGCGCAUCCCGCCCCGCCUGUCCACCGUGCCCGCUCUCCCACGCGCCUGCUGCUGGGCUCCUGUGUCCGUGGAUGCUGAGCUGCAGGAGGGAAGGUUUCGCCCUCUGAUCGCUCCCACAGACUGCCGGGGAGCCCUCUCUUUCUGAGGGGCGGGCUGCUCUCCCACACGCAUCCUCCUGAACGUCGUCUUUGCCCGCUAUCUCUUAAUUAAAAGCAAUUUAUUUUACCAACACAGAGGUGUUGCCCAAACCACUGAACGACGGGAGCAGCAAGAGAAUUGUCUCGUGAAGGACGUGCUUGAGCGAGGGGCAUUUAUCUCAGCGGCUGCUUUCCCAAAACAAAGCAAUUAGUCACCUCCCCUGUCUCGCCGCCUCUGCCUGGACACGCUCCGCAGCAGGAGCCGGCAGCCGGCGCACGGGACCGCGGUGCUCCAGCAUCGUGCCGGAGCCGCGCACGAGGGCUGCGCGAUGGGUUAUGGCUCCAGGGAAGGUCGCUGCAGCAGUGCAUCGCUCCGGUUCCUCCUCCUCCUCCUCCUCCUCCUGCUGCGCUGCAAACGGUGCCGCUCGGGUAGAGGCAGGCAGAGCUGCACGUCGGCUUCCCGGAGCCCCCAGGGCCGCGCUCCUCCCAGUUUGACCAGACGCAGGCUGCGGGAGGGCUGGGUGAACUCCUGCUGUGGAGACCCAGCUCGAAAUGAUUGCAAAAGAUAUUUGUUGCUGUGGAAAUAUAUGAAAGUCUUGGUCAGUAGGACAAGGGCAGCUCAGAGAGGAGCUGGGGGUGAGCCCAGUUUUAUCUACUGUGCUGCAGGCUGGGAAAAUAGAAAUACUACCAGGCAACGCUGUUGCAGGUGGGAGAGUGAAGCAAAGUCCAGCUACAAUGCAAUGGCCUACAAACCUUGGUGUCAUGAAACGAGGAUGAGUCUGGACAAUGCUGACAGCAGAGCUGGGACUCCAAGGGAGAGCCCCCAGGACAGCGGGACCCUGGGCCGCAGCUGCCUCGCAGGGACAGGGAAGGGGCCGGUGGUUCAGCACCGUUACGUACUGCACAUCCCAGAUCUGCAGCCGGAACCGAUCAAGCUGAAUUAAGUGGAAACUCUUUGGGGAUGCAGAACCCGAGGCCGUGGCUCCUCUCCACGUGUCGAAGAGCUGAUGGACUUGGAAGCCGCUUUUAACCUUGAAAAGGAAGGGAUAGGCAUGCCAUCUCCCAGGUAAACCAAGUACACGUCUUCAAGCACUGGGAAAAUGCCUGUGGUGUCCCUGACAGCAGGAAAUCCCACAGCAAGGGCUGAGCGUGGUGAAAUUAAAGCCCCAAAGCAGCCCUUGGAGGAGAGUGGCCUCUUCCCCCCUUCCCCUGCAGAAACGCUUCUUGCAAAUCCUCCUGGACGCCCCUCGCUGCCUCCUCGUGCAGGACAGUUUGUUUGUCAGCACCGGGCAAUAAACGCAGCCAAAGCCGUCGUUAGCUCGUGGCAAUAUCGGCUAGAAUUUUAAGAUCCACUGUGUCGCCGCCGGUCCCUUGCGAGCAGAGCAGAGCGAAGCGUGGGCUCACCGAGGCUGCAGUGGAGGUGGUGACCGCAGCUGCCGGCGGCUGCCCAUCCCACCAGCCUCACCCGCGCCGCGGUUCUGUGGGCAUCACAUCAGCACCCGGCAGCAAGCACUGCUGGGGAAAAAGAAAGAGAGGUCCAGGAGUUACCUACAGAGGAAA